AAAAAAUUAGUUAAAUAUAUAACAUUAGUAUGUCAAACUAAAAUUAUCAAAUUUAUGGAUAUUUUUUA
rnacentral:tRNA from 1 species